rnacentral:piRNA from 2 species
UUCCAAUUAGACUUUUCCAGAUCCAUUGGA